AUGUUCAGCUUCGGCGACUCUCUGAUCGACACCGGCAAUUUCAUCGUCCACUACGCCAAUGCGUCGGGCCCCGUCCUGGCGUUGCCCUACGGGGAGACCUUCUUCGGCCGCCCCAACGGCCGCUGGUCCGACGGCCGCCUUGUUGUCGACUUCAUCGUGGAGAGGCUGGGGUUCCCGUACUGGCCGGCGUACCUGCAAGCGGCGGCAGGGAAGUCGCCGGCGGAGGAGUUUCGGUACGGCGCCAAUUUCGCGGUGGCGGCCGCCACGGCGUUGAGCCAGGAGUUCUUCAUUAAAAAAAACCUCAGCGUUGACCAGUUCCCACCGAUCCCCCCCUACUUCCUCGACGUCCAGAUCGGCUUGUUCAACAUAGUGCUCGCCGCGCUCGCCUCCACAAACCAAGAGCGGAAGGAGGUGAUGGCGAGCUCGCUGUUCCUGGUGGGAGAGAUCGGCGCCAACGACUACAACCACCCCUUCUUCCAAAACAAAACAGUCGAAUGGGUCAGGCCCAUCGUGCCCCAGGUCAUCAGGUCCAUCGCUCUCUCCAUCGAGGCCUUGAUCGAGCUGGGCGCCAAGACCAUGUACGUGCCGGGCAUCUUCCCGCUGGGGUGCACCCCGCAGUUCCUCUUCCUCUUCCCCGGCGACGACCGCGACCCUGCCACGGGCUGCCUCCGGUGGCUCAACGACCUUGUCCUCCUCCACAACCGCAUGCUGAAAGCCACGCUCGAGGAGCUCCGCCGCGACCACCCCGGCGUGUCCAUCACCUACGUCAACACCUACGACGACGUGCUCACCCUCAUCACCAAGCCGGCGGAGAACGGGUUCAGCGUGGAGACGGUGCUGAAGGCGUGCUACCCCGUCUUGAACGCCGGGCCGGCGGCGGUGCCGUGCCCGGACCCGUCGACGUACGUGUCGUUCGACGGCCUGCACAUGACAGAGGCGGCGUACAAGAUCAUGGCCCGAGGGGUGCUCGAUGGCCCGUUCGCCGCGCCGCCCAUCAUGUCCACAUGCAACCACAACUGUUAG
rnacentral:rRNA from 1 species